rnacentral:tRNA from 1 species
AAUAGAAUGCCUGAUAAAAGGGUUAUCUUGAUAGGAUAAAUUAUAUGGAUAAGCCAUUUCUAUUG